AGAUUGAACGCUGGCGGCAUGCCUUACACAUGCAAGUCGAACGGCAGCGCGGGAGCAAUCCUGGCGGCGAGUGGCGAACGGGUGAGUAAUACAUCGGAACGUGCCCAAUCGUGGGGGAUAACUACGCGAAAGCGUAGCUAAUACCGCAUACGAUCUAUGGAUGAAAGCAGGGGACCGCAAGGCCUUGCGCGAUUGGAGC
rnacentral:rRNA from 1 species